CCCUUAGAUGUUCUGGGCUGCACGCGCGCUACACUGAAGCGUUCAACGAGUAUUUCACCUUGCCCGGGAGGGUUGGGUAAUCUUUUUAAAACGCUUCGUGAUGGGGAUAGAUUAUUGCAAUUAUUAAUCUUCAACGAGGAAUUCCUAGUAAGCGUGAGUCAUCAGCUCGCGUUGAUUACGUCCCUGCCCUUUGUACACACCGCCCGUCGCUACUACCGAUUGAAUGGCUUAGUGAGCCUUUGGGAUUGGCAGCCAACACCGGCAACGGUAGCUGGCCGCCGAAAACUUAUGCAAACUUGGUCAUUUAGAGGAAGUAAAAGUCGUAACA
rnacentral:rRNA from 1 species